AUUGAACGCUGGCGGCAGGCCUAACACAUGCAAGUCGAACGAGUGGCGGACGGGGGAGUAAUGUCUGGGAAACUGCCCGCUGGAGGGGGAUAAAUAAUGGAAACGGUAGCUAAUCCCGCAUACCAUCGGAUGUCACCACAUGGGAGUAGCUAGUAGGUUGGGUAACGGCUCACAGAGGCGACGAUCCCUAGCUGGUCUGAGAGGAUGACCAGCCACACUGGAACUGAGACACGGGCCAGACUCCUACGGGAGGCAGCAGUGGGGAAUAGUGCAAAAUGGGCGCAAGCCUGAUGCAGCCAUGCCGCGGGUAUGAAGAAGGCCUUCGGGUUGUAAAGUACUUUCAGCGAGGAGGCGUUACUCGCAGAAGAAGCACCGGCUAACUCCGUGCCAGCAGCCGCGGUAAUAC
rnacentral:rRNA from 1 species